rnacentral:rRNA from 1 species
ACGCUAGCUACAGGCUUAACACAUGCAAGUCGAGGGGCAGCAUUUCAGUUUGCUUGCAAACUGGAGAUGGCGACCGGCGCACGGGUGAGUAACACGUAUCCAACCUGCCGAUAACUCGGGGAUAGCCUUUCGAAAGAAAGAUUAAUACCCGAUGGUAUAAUCAGACCGCAUGGUCUUGUUAUUAAAGAAUUUCGGUUAUCGAUGGGGAUGCGUUCCAUUAGGCAGUUGGUGAGGUAACGGCUCACCAAACCUUCGAUGGAUAGGGGUUCUGAGAGGAAGGUCCCCCACAUUGGAACUGAGACACGGUCCAAACUCCUACGGGAGGCAGCAGUGAGGAAUAUUGGUCAAUGGGCGCAGGCCUGAACCAGCCAAGUAGCGUGAAGGAUGACUGCCCUAUGGGUUGUAAACUUCUUUUAUAUGGGAAUAAAGUUUUCCACGUGUGGAAUUUUGUAUGUACCAUAUGAAUAAGGAUCGGCUAACUCCGUGCCAGCAGCCGCGGUAAUACGGAGGAUCCGAGCGUUAUCCGGAUUUAUUGGGUUUAAAGGGAGCGUAGGUGGACAGUUAAGUCAGUUGUGAAAGUUUGCGGCUCAACCGUAAAAUUGCAGUUGAUACUGGCUGUCUUGAGUACAGUAGAGGUGGGCGGAAUUCGUGGUGUAGCGGUGAAAUGCUUAGAUAUCACGAAGAACUCCGAUUGCGAAGGCAGCUCACUGGACUGCAACUGACACUGAUGCUCGAAAGUGUGGGUAUCAAACAGGAUUAGAUACCCUGGUAGUCCACACAGUAAACGAUGAAUACUCGCUGUUUGCGAUAUACAGUAAGCGGCCAAGCGAAAGCAUUAAGUAUUCCACCUGGGGAGUACGCCGGCAACGGUGAAACUCAAAGGAAUUGACGGGGGCCCGCACAAGCGGAGGAACAUGUGGUUUAAUUCGAUGAUACGCGAGGAACCUUACCCGGGCUUAAAUUGCAUUUGAAUAAUCUGGAAACAGGUUAGCCGCAAGGCAAAUGUGAAGGUGCUGCAUGGUUGUCGUCAGCUCGUGCCGUGAGGUGUCGGCUUAAGUGCCAUAACGAGCGCAACCCUUAUCUUUAGUUACUAACAGGUCAUGCUGAGGACUCUAGAGAGACUGCCGUCGUAAGAUGUGAGGAAGGUGGGGAUGACGUCAAAUCAGCACGGCCCUUACGUCCGGGGCUACACACGUGUUACAAUGGGGGGUACAGAAGGCAGCUACCUGGUGACAGGAUGCUAAUCCCAAAAGCCUCUCUCAGUUCGGAUCGAAGUCUGCAACCCGACUUCGUGAAGCUGGAUUCGCUAGUAAUCGCGCAUCAGCCAUGGCGCGGUGAAUACGUUCCCGGGCCUUGUACACACCGCCCGUCAAGCCAUGAAAGCCGGGGGUACCUGAAGUACGUAACCGCAAGGAGCGUCCUAGGGUAAAACUGGUAAUUGGGG